rnacentral:rRNA from 1 species
CAGUCGCCGCGGGAAUACGAAGGGGGCCAGCGUUGCUCGGAAUGACUGGGCGUAAAGGGCGCGUAGGCGGCGCGGUAAGUCACUUGUGAAAUCUCUGAGCUUAACUCAGAACGGCCAAGUGAUACUGCUGUGCUAGAGUGCGGAAGAGGCAACCGGAAUUCUUGGUGUAGCGGUGAAAUGCGUAGAUAUCAAGAGGAACACCUGAGGCGAAGGCGGGUUGCUGGGCCGACACUGACGCUGAUGCGCGAAAGCCAGGGGAGCAAACGGGAUUAGAUACCCCGGUAGUCCCUGUCUCUUAUAA